AUUGAACGCUGGCGGCAUGCCUUACACAUGCAAGUCGAACGGCAGCAUGAUCUAGCUUGCUAGAUUGAUGGCGAGUGGCGAACGGGUGAGUAAUACAUCGGAACGUGCCCUGUAGUGGGGGAUAACUAGUCGAAAGAUUAGCUAAUACCGCAUACGACCUGAGGGUGAAAGUGGGGGACCGCAAGGCCUCAUGCUAUAGGAGCGGCCGAUGGCUGAUUAGCUAGUUGGUGUGGUAAAGGCUCACCAAGGCGACGAUCAGUAGCUGGUCUGAGAGGACGAUCAGCCACCCUGGGACGGAGACACGGCCCAGGCUCCUACGGGAGGCAGCAGCGGGGAAUUUUGGACAAUGGGGGCAACCCUGAUCCAGCAAUGCCGCGUGUGUGAAGAAGGCCUUCGGGUUGUAAAGCACUUUUGUCCGGAAAGAAAUCGCACUUACUAAUAUUAGGUGUGGAUGACGGUACCGGAAGAAUAAGGACCGGCUAGCUACGUGCCAGCCGCCGCAGUAAAAC
rnacentral:rRNA from 1 species